UUUCCGUAGGUGAACCUGCGGAAGGAUCAUUUUCGAAAACAACUUCUUACAAACCAAUUUUGUGAAUUGUUUUGGGUUUUUUACUCUCGGAGGUAGGGCUUAGUUGCUCUAAUAGUGACAACGGUAUACCAGUGGGUCUAUUGUUGCCCUCCUAUUACGCGAUGUCUGACGCCCUAUUCUCUGGGAGGCCAUGAUGAACUACCUUCGGGUUGAUAGUAUCGUUCUUUUUUGCUUUUGUUUUCACAAACAAAAAAAUUCCAAUGAUACGACAACUUUUAACGGUGGAUCUCUUGGCUCGU
rnacentral:misc_RNA from 1 species